AUGCUGCCUCGGAUGGCUCCACCAUCAACUGUUGAUCCUCUCUUAGAUCAUACGAGUCCGUUUUUCUUUCACUCCAGCAACGGUUUUUCCUUUUGUAUUUGUCCUGCCCGAUCUAACUGGUUUGAAUUAUCAUUCAUAAGCGAGGUCUAUGCGACGUGCUCUAGGUGCCAAAAUGAAUUUCAAAUUCCUUCAUGGAACCAUCUAGAUGUCAACUGGUCCUUUUGA